UGGGGAAUAUUGAACAAUGGGCGCAAGCCUGAUGCAGCCAUGCCGCGUGUAUGAAGAAGGCCUUCGGGUUGUAAAGUACUUUCAGCGGGGAGGAAGGGAGUAAAGUUAAUACCUUUGCUCAUUGACGUUACCCGCAGAAGAAGCACCGGCUAACUCCGUGCCAGCAGCCGCGGUAAUACGGAGGGUGCAAGCGUUAAUCGGAAUUACUGGGCGUAAAGCGCACGCAGGCGGUUUGUUAAGUCAGAUGUGAAAUCCUCGGGCUCAACCUGGGAACUGCAUCUGAUACUGGCAAGCUUGAGUCUCGUAGAGGGGGGUAGAAUUCCAGGUGUAGCGGUGAAAUGCGUAGAGAUCUGGAGGAAUACCGGUGGCGAAGGCGGCCCCCUGGACGAAGACUGACGCUCAGGUGCGAAAGCGUGGGGAGCAAACAGG
rnacentral:rRNA from 1 species